GUGAAUCAUCAAAUUUUUGAACGCAAAUUGCACUCUCUUCGGAGAGUAUGCGUGUUUGAGGGUCAGCCUAAAAAAAAAUCGAAAUAGUCGCUGUUUUGGGGUGAAAUUUGUCGGAAAUUGUGUCAUAUUAAAUCUUUGGGUUUUAAGUGGAUUAAUAUUUUUUUUAUGAUUCAAGGAAAGUUUCUAAGAUUUAGUUUUUUUAUGUUUAUGGAUUC
rnacentral:misc_RNA from 1 species